AAAAAUGAUCUAUAUAACCGAUCCAAUUAAUUUGGGACUAAGACUUAGUUGUUGUUGUAUGAUCAUUCUCUUCAAAAGGUGACUAUUGAAAACCAUUUCAUGAACUUUAGUUUUUCUGAUUGAUUUUUUUUGCUUAAUUUGGAUGCUUGAUGCCACAGAAACUCCAAUGAAAACUCAUUAAAAUUCUAAUUUGUGAUCAUGAAUUUAACCCUUGGUCCACCAAGGAUGCUAAUACUCCUAUGUUAAAAUCUAUUUUCGUGCUCAAUGUCAAAUUAUAUUUGUAAGCGCGGGUGAUUUACGCAUUUGAACUUAUCUCAUCACCAUGGCAUGAGGCCUAUUGGAUUUGAAACUUUUUAGAAUAACUUGUGUAUUAGAUGAAGUAAACCAAAUGAGUCUAUUCAUGUGGCUGUUAUGAAGGAGCGAAAGCAUGAAAAACAUAAGUUUAGA
rnacentral:misc_RNA from 1 species